CUUGAACCUGGGAGAUGGAGGUUGCAGUGAGCCGAGAUCGCGCCACUGCACCCCAGCCUGGGCGACAGAGUGAGAAUAAAAGCACGGAAUGAGGCCUCCUUUGAGCUAGGUUCUGGGGUGAACAAGGCUGUGAACACAACAGUGACAAGAACGACCCCAGGUCCUGCCUUACAGAGCUUAGUCCGGUGUGGGUAGACAGCCCCAUCCUCAGACAGUGACAACCCCGACUGGUCAGGGCGACGGGUCCCAGGCCGAGUCGCUGGGCUGUGUUGGGGAAGGGGGUGCUACUGCGCAGGCGCUGCGGGAGGCCACUGGGGCUCAAGCACCUCGGAUUCCCGCUCAUACGGCCGGCCGAAUCACGUGGCAGUCACGUGGCGACCACUGUCUAGCCCAACGGUGAGUGCAAAGCCACCUGGACUGGGGUCUGGGCCCAGAACUUUCCCAGAGCUUUCUGGUGUCACAGAUCACCCUCAGACCCUUCCGCGAGCCCUCAAGCCCCUCCCACCCUGUCAUUCUCUUCCGCGGCCCUCAGACCCCGCCCCCACCCGUUUAGCAAACCCUGUCCCCAUUCCGCUGACCCCUUCCCCAGCCCCAGACACUGUCCUCAGAGCCCCCUUUCCCAGCCUGCAGACCCCACCCCCAACACACAGACACUUCCCUAGUCCUUAGUCCAGGCGUCCCACUCUCGGACCCUCGAACCGUCGGCAGAUCCUGCCAUCAGUGCCCUCUCCUCCUUCAGAGCCCGCCGGCUGCCCUCAGACCCCAUCCACCCCGCGGACCCCACAGACGCUGUCCCCAGAGCCUCCCCACGACCCCUCUCACCACCUCUCAAAUCCUAAACCACAGACGCCUCUUCCUCCCACCGCAGCCUUCAGAGCCUCCUCCCAAGCCCUUCGACUCCCUUCCCAGGCUCAGAUUCUAUCCUCGCAGCCCUUCUGCCACCCUGGCACGCCCGACCCCAGCCCUAAGCCCCCUCCCAGCCCUCCAAUUGCCUUAGAUCCCCCUCAGCUCUCAGUCUCCCUGCGACCCCAGACCUUCUGGUAUGUCGCCCUCCCAGAGCCACCCCCUUUUCUCAUUCAGCCGCCUCCCUUCCCAUCAGACCCCUCCUGAAUCCCCUUCCCUUCUAGACUGCGCCCCCAAAACCCCCAGCCAACUCUGUCUUUAUUGUUUUCUUGUCCCCAAAGUUCCGGUCCUUCACAUCCCCCUUCCCUCAUGAGACCCCCUAGCGGAUCCCUGCCCCGGAACCGGACCCCACAGACGCCCUCACUGCCCUUUCGCUUCCCAGUGGAGCUGGGUUCCAAGAGGGAUCUAGACACCCAGGUGGGCCGUCUGCACCACGUGGCUGUGGCGGGGGAGCCCAGGAUGGGGCCCGGCCAGGCUCCUGCUGAGAGAGAAAGUGUGCCGUGAAGUGGCUCACAGAGCCAAGACCACACCCAGGUGUGUGCCCCCUGUGAUGUCCCCAGACCCCAUCCCAUUCCAGGUAGGAGCCAGGAUGGGGCUGUGGGGGACCAAGGGAGCUGUAGGACACCUGGGCAACCCAUGCCAGCUCUCUGCCAUCCCUCUCUGCAGGCCCCAGAGACUCCUGCGGUCACAGGCCACAGCAGGGUGCAGCCUGGAGCUUGGGCAGCAGCUUGACUCUCGGCAGCAGCUCUGGGCCUAGCUCAGGCCCCAGUCCUGGGUCUGGCCACAGCCCCACAGCCAGGGUCAGCCUGCACUGCUGCCUGGAGCCCAGCCCAACAGUACAGAUACCCCCAGAGCCUUGAACAACUGUCCCAUUGCUAACCUGUGACUACCUCUGCCCACCCUCCAGUAGUCACCAACCCCAAGUUCUCUGGCUGCCUCUCCUUUGACGAGGGAACUUUAGGGUCGCCCAACUGUCCCCUCACUCACCUGUGACCCUUAACCAACCCUGCUUCCCUCAGGGCCCUUCCCUGCACUCCACCUCCAGCCUCCAGGACUCAGCCUCCCUGCUGGGGACCCAGAGCUCUAUGGAGCAGUUUGAGGAAGCGCUCAGCCAAGAUUCCAGGCCUGCAGGGGCUGCUGUGGCACACACACAGGGUUACUCUGCUGGAGCCCCAGCCCUAUGAGCCCAUCCCCAGCCUGCUGACCCACAGGGAGGCUUCCCACACAUUGGGAGGCUGCUGGAAGGCCACGAGGGCAGGCUAAGCAGGGGACCCCGAGCCCAGUCUGUGCCCCAUCCGCCCUCCAAGGCCCGCUGGAGCGCCAUGGCUACCAGGUGGCAUCUCCAGCCUUCUCUCCUGCAGGCACCCGCUACUGAGCUGACUGGAGAAGGUAUCUUCUCCGGCCUGCAGAAGUGAGACCUGAGGCCUCGGAUGGGAGGACCCUGGGUAACCCUAGGUCUUUAUCCCUGAGGUAACCCUAGGUCUGCCUGUGCCCCACUGCUUCCCAGGAUGGACCUGCUGGAGAUCAUAGCAGAGCUGCAAAAAGGAUGUCAGCUUGGAGAAAGGCCCAGCCUGAGCCCCACUCCUGACCUAGACUCCCAGGGUGCCCAUGGUUCCCGCUCUGCGGAUACCACCUCUUAGAGGCUCCCAGGAGUAACUCCUGCCUUGGUGCCUCCCCAGAAGGAAAUAGAAUGAUAGAGCGCCCCCUC